GCAGGAGUGUUACAUUGUUUGCAGAAGAUGAAAAGAGUCUGUGAGACGUUUCUGCUGUUACCUGAUUACUCUAUUAAGGUUCAUUGUUUUCACUGUUGAAGAGGAGAAAGCUGUUUGACUUUUGUCAAUUGGCAGCCCCAAGUCCUACCUCUCGCCCGUGACACUCAGAGGGCUGGAUGUCUGAUUUCAUGAAGAUGAUGGCCAGCAGCCUUGUCCAUGAGUCGACUGUCUUCUCCUAUAGGAAUGAACUUCUAUUCUGGUCUCUAGAGAAAACGAAUCCCUUGGAAAUUUUUCAUAUGGAGGAUACUUCAAGAAGAACCUAACCUUCUGAGGCUGCUCAGUCAGUACAAAAGCAAAUCCUUCUAAGACUCCUUCACUACAGAUUGCUUUUGCCUGUUUUUGAACUUGAAAUUAAUGGAUUCAUAUAGAUGUAUUCUUUCUUGGCUCAAAGUAGUAUUUGCGAAAUUUAGUCAUAUUAUUUCGUGUUACAGUGAACCAAAAAACAUGCACCGGUGACAACAGGAACCUGGUCUCAGUGGCAGGACUGCAAAUAAGAAACAGUGAUUCCCAUAGCUGUUUUCUGGCCCCUUCUGCAAAGCCAGCACCUGCUCCAUUUUUAAAAAUUAUGAUUAUAAAAGUCAUACAUACUUAUUUAAAAAACAAAAGUUCAAGUAUAGAAAGGUAAAGAGUACAAAUCCCUUUCCUCUUGCAUAAUUCAUACAGACCCACUUCCCAGUAAUAAUCAGUGUUACUAUUACUAAUAAUAGGUAACAUUUAUUGAGCAGUGACUAUAUGUAAAGCAUUUUUCGAUUUUAUCACUUUUGUUUUAUUAAGGUUUGUCGCUUAAGAUUUGUCCCAACAGUUUGUAGGCAUAUACACACAUCUCUUUCAUCUUAAAUAAAGUAUUAUGUCCUCA